CCACUGGAAUGCACCUCCUCUGACUCUGAUAUGCGCAUUUAACAUGGAGAGAUUUAAAAGAGGACUUGGAACUUUGCGGAAUCACCACCGAAAGUGUGAAGAGAGAUUUGAAAAUGCUUGGGCCAAAAAGGACCACUGCCCCUCAUCAGGUGAACAUACACCUCUCAAAGGGAGGCAUGGGGAUAAACCUGAUAAAGCCUGUUACCCCCAUCAGCACCAUCACCAUCCAGAGAAGAUGAGGUGCUCACUGAGGGGUCUCUGUAAUCCAGCCACAGUGGAUCUGAGGCAGACUACAAACCUCCAUCAUCCAGUGAAGAUGAGGUGCUUGCACAGGAGUCCCAGUCAUCCUGUCACAGUGCACCAGAGAAGCACCGUAGUCAUUUAUCAUCCAGUGAUACUGAGAUCGGGUACUUCACCAGUACUUUCCAUGGGUCGCGGAGGGUGCUGGAGCCUAUCCCAGCUGACUUGGGCGAAGGCAGGGGACACCCAGGACAGGUCGCAGGGCUACAUUUACAGACACACAAUCACUCUCGCAUUCGCACCUACGGGCAAUUUGGAGUAACCAAUUAACCUCAGCAUAUUUUUGGACUGUGGAAGGCAGCUGGAGUGCCCAGAGAAAACCCACGCAUGCACAGGGAGAACAUGCAAACUCCAUGCAGAAAGAUCCCAGGUCCACCCCUGGGUUUGAACCAGGGAUCUUCUUGCUACCAGGUGAAAGUGCUAACCAGUACACCACCGUGCAGCCUUUUUGAAGAAACAAAAUUUGCAUAUUAGCAGAUUUCCCAGCAUGCACUAUUUGGAAGAUAGAAGUCUAAGUGGAAACUUGCUGUCCAUCUUAAUUCCAUGAUAAAUUCAAUAAUGUUUAUUUCUUUGCAUAAUAUUGUAACAGUGUGAACCAUGAGAACAGUUGGAAUGUAGUUCUUGACUCCACUACAUUGAGUUUAUCUUUAUCUUUUCUUUUCUACAUAUGCUGUGAUUAGCCUUGUAAGUUGCCUUUCUAGUGAUGACAUGUCAUACAAAAGUAAAAUGGGGAAAAAAGUAUCAGGAAUGGUUGUCAGUGGGACAAAACAGUUUAUUUAACCUAAGUAACCCAGCUUAAGAAACUAAAGAUACUAAGUUUGGCAAUGUUUUUGCUGCUAUUUCUGAGCUGAAUUAACUUGAAAUGUUUUGUUCAGUGUUAAAAAUGGGAAAUGAAUAUUGUGGGAGUCUGUUAAAUGUCCACCCACACUUAUUCAUAUCCAAUGCUAACAUUUUCAGAAUUCUCGCAGAUAAUCUUUACAUGGGAGCUAAAUGGUUAGCAUGCAUAGUCUACAUUCCCAGGACUUCAUUACUUUGACCGUCCCCUCAGCGUUUAGAAAAGCAGAUUUUUCUUACUCUGCCUCACAACCUGGAAUCCAGUACAGUAGAGUCUGAAGCUGUCCGAUUUAAUUCCCCUUGUGGACUUUAGAUGUCUCUUAAAUACUACGGAAAUAUCACCUUUUAGGACUUGUUCUUGGUGUUUUUGCUCUUUAUUUUUAUUGCUUGGCACGUUUGCACAUCCAUUUUGAUGUCUAUGUUGUGUUUUGUCAUGACCUGUCUGUAACUCACUGUUGUAUUCUAUAUUGUCUACUACUAGUAGUACAGGUCCCAUAGUAUUAUUUGUCAGUGACUCAAUGUUAUUUCUUAUGUUAUUUGAGGACAGGUUCUCUUGAGAUUGAGACCCUUGGCCUCAAUGAGAUUACCUGUAGAAAUAAAGGUAAAUAUAAAAAAGAAAAUGCGGUUCAGACUUGUGCCUUGUUGAAAGCAUUACAGAAACAUUACUCCAAACUCGUAAGAUUGCUGUUGUGAGCCAACAAGUUCAGAUGGCAUCCGAUUAACGGGAAGGAGUUCAUGUCUGAAUGGGGCUUUAGUUCCUCUAUUUACUUCUGAACAACUCUCUACUCCAAAAACACUGCAGCCACAUAAUUUUGCAGAGACAGUUCUGUGACAUAACCACCCACCAAUGAAAGAAAAAUCUGUCAUCUUCCGCUUCAUGACUGCACCUUUCAUAACUUUGAUACCUCAGUGAGCUUUAGUGUUUGCAGAAGCUACAAAAGUACCACAGCUGUCAAAUAAUACUAACUGCCCCAUUUUAUCAUUACAACGUAAGAAACAACACAGAGUUUUAUGACCCAAGCACUCCUUGCAAACACACAUGCACCUUUCUAAAAAUGAGGUAUUUUCAGCCUCCAGAACUUUGGUAAAUAAGAGGGGUUUUUUUUCUCCCCAGACAGCACCUUUGUUAUUCAAACUCCUUCAGUUUUCCUUUGUAACAGGUUCAGCCAUGAUGGAUUGGACAGCCAUAUAUCAAUAUAAUCGCCUAGUGCAGUUUUCCUUCUUUUGGAGUACAAAAUA